AGCAUUAAGAUACAGUCAGGAGCAGAAGAAUACAGAGCUCAUGUUCUCUCCAUCUCCUUUCCAACAGCGGCAAAGAGGGAAAGUUAUCUUCUGCUUUACAAGACUGUCCAUACUACAGCUUCUUUUUACAGGUGAUACAUGAACAAGAUCACUCAAGAUUGACCACUGGUGCUCUCAUAUGUAACAGCAACUCCAUGUGGACUGCACUGACUUCCAGUGGAGAUGCUGUUACUUUUGAUAGUCACUCAAAAACUCCACAGCAACUGCUACCAGAACGUCGUUUAUCCAGCAUUCAAGUUAAAAACCAGCUCGUGUUUUGAAAUGCAAGUUAUUUACUGGUGAUUUAAUUAUAUUAAUGAUAUAAUUUAAUUAUAUUAAAUAUUCUAAUUAUAUACACCAUCUAAGUAUGAAACGUCAUAAAAAAUAUGUCAGCAACCUAUUGUAAUAUGAUUUUCAAGAUGAUAAUGCAAAUGUAACAAAACAAUCAGGCUCAGCUGCUUUUUUCAAGAACUGGUGUCCAGGAAAAUGACCUAUGAAUUGACAGACUGUCUUCUAAAUUUGCCUGUCACUUCUAUAGGCCAAUAUUCUGUGCACUUCUCCUACUCCAGUUACAGAAGUCUCCUCCAGUUAACUUUACAAAUAUUUAAGCUCAAACUUUUUAGAAUAUUUAAUGACUGCUUUACACUUUCCUUUGAAAAUUCCACCGAGAGUAAGAAAAGUUAGAAGUAAAGAGUACUGGCUAUAAACGAGUGUUGGAAACUGUAAGUCAAAUGAAAUAAAUCUUUUUUCAAGCAUA